GUGCUCACUUCAGCAGCACAUGUACUAAAAUUGGAAGGAUACAGAGAUUAGCGUGGCCCCUUGCAGGGAUGACAUGCAAAUUUAUGAAGCAUUCCAUAUUAAA